rnacentral:rRNA from 1 species
CAUGCCGCGUGAGUGAAGAAGCCUUCGGGUUGUAAAGCUCUUUCGUGAGGGAAGAAACGGUUCAGGCUAAUACUCUGGAUUACUGACGGUACCUCAAGAAGAAGCACCGGCUAACUACGUGCCAGCAGCCGCGGUAAUACGUAGGGUGCGAGCGUUAAUCGGAAUUACUGGGCGUAAAGCGUGCGCAGGCGGUUUUGUAAGACAGGUGUGAAAUCCCCGGGCUUAACCUGGGAACUGCAUUUGUGACUGCAAGGCUAGAGUGCGGCAGAGGGGGGUAGAAUUCCACGUGUAGCAGUGAAAUGCGUAGAGAUGUGGAGGAAUACCGAUGGCGAAGGCAGCCCCCUGGGUCGACACUGACGCUCAUGCACGAAAGCGUGGGGAGCAAACAGGAUUAGAUACCCUGGUAGUCCACGCCCUAAACGAUGUCAACUAGUUGUUGGGGAAGGAGACUUCCUUAGUAACGCAGCUAACGCGUGAAAGUUGACCCGCCUGGGGAGUACGGUCGCAAGAUUAAAACUCAAAGGAAUUGACGGGGACCCGCACAAGCGGUGGAUUAUGUGGAUUAAUUCGAUGCACGCGAAAAACCUUACCUACCCUUGACAUGCCAGGAACUUUCCAGAGAUGGAUUGGUGCCCGAA